rnacentral:rRNA from 1 species
UACGAAGGGGGCUAGCGUUGUUCGGAAUCACUGGGCGUAAAGCGCACGUAGGUGGACUUUCAAGUCAGGGGUGAAAUCCCGGGGCUCAACCUCGGAACUGCCUUUGAUACUGUUAGUCUUGAGUCCGGAAGAGGUGGGUGGAAUUCCUAGUGUAGAGGUGAAAUUCGUAGAUAUUAGGAAGAACACCGGUGGCGAAGGCGGCCCACUGGUCCGGUACUGACACUGAGGUGCGAAAGCGUGGGGAGCAAACAGG